AUGUCAGUUUCAGAUACGAACCUUCAUAAUGUAGAAAAGCCCAUCUCCGAAAUUACCGAUGCGAAACUCGCCGAAAAGCAUGGUCAUAUGAAGUUAGUAUGCUCACAGACAAGGUUCGGAAAAACCAUGAAACUGUUGUCACAAGACCACAGAAAGUACAUCAUAUCAGAAACCAGUCUUGGCGGUCUGACCCAGAUGCAUGAUGUGACUCUACGGCGCAUAAUGUUGGUUAGACUAGCCAAGAGCAUAGAUAUGGACACGCAAUCCAUUACCAUCGGUAAAACGCCAAUUCCUAUAACAAAAGAGGACGUGCAAGGUAUAUUUGGCAUUCCGAUAGAAGGGGAGGAUAUAGAGCCACAUCUGGAAAUGCAAACUGACACAGAAUUGUUUACCGCAUAUGCAAACAAUGGGCAAAUUUUGAUUUCUGACCUUGAAACAGCGAUCCGAGCUUCCAAAGCCCCAGACGGCGAUUUCCUGAGGCGGUUCAUUCUGUACGCAAUUGGUAUUGUUCUAGCACCAACAGCACAACAUUAUGUGGACUCGAAAUUUCUCAACCUCGUUACAGAUCUUGAAAACCUUCGGAAAUUUAACUAG
rnacentral:rRNA from 1 species